rnacentral:rRNA from 1 species
GGUUUCGUCUCGGGUAGCCUCACGGUUUUCACCCGGUCCGGAAUCCUCCUCGUGGCAAACCAGGGUUCUCUUAACUGGGCGCUCUGGGGAACCACGACGUUUACUUUGAAAAAAUUAGAGUGUUUCAGGCAGGCAAUUGCUUGGAUACUGCAGCAUGGAAUAAUGGAAUAGGACUUUGACCUAUUUGUUGGUUUCUCGAGGUCAAAGUA